rnacentral:rRNA from 1 species
AGAGUUUGAUCCUGGCUCAGGAUGAACGCUAGCGGCAGGCCUAAUACAUGCAAGUCGAACGGGCUGGAGUAGCAAUACUCCAGUUAGUGGCGCACGGGUGCGUAACGCGUAUGCAACCUACCUUUUAUUGGGGGAUAGCCCGAAGAAAUUCGGAUUAAUACCGCAUAAUAUCAUUUGAGGGCAUCUGAGGAUGAUUAAAGCUACGGCGAUAAAAGAUGGGCAUGCGUGUCAUUAGCUAGUUGGUUGAGGUAACGGCUCACCAAGGCGACGAUGACUAGGGGUUCUGAGAGGAUGAUCCCCCACACUGGUACUGAGAUACGGACCAGACUCCUACGGGAGGCAGCAGUAGGGAAUAUUGGGCAAUGGCGGAAACGCUGACCCAGCCAUGCCGCGUGCAGGAUGAAGGCCUUCUGGGUUGUAAACUGCUUUUAUCUAGGAAGAAAAUACUCUUGCGAGAGGAACUGACGGUACUAGAUGAAUAAGCACCGGCUAACUCCGUGCCAGCAGCCGCGGUAAUACGGAGGGUGCAAGCGUUGUCCGGAUUUAUUGGGUUUAAAGGGUGCGUAGGCGGCUUCAUAAGUCCGUGGUGAAAGCCAACAGCUCAACUGUUGAACUGCCAUGGAUACUGUGAGGCUUGAGUACAGACGAGGUAGGCGGAAUGGAUCGUGUAGCGGUGAAAUGCAUAGAUACGAUCCAGAACUCCGAUUGCGAAGGCAGCUUACUAGGCUGUAACUGACGCUGAGGCACGAAAGCGUGGGGAGCGAACAGGAUUAGAUACCCCCGUAGUCC